UGGGAUGUGGCUCAGCGGUAGAGUUCUCACCUAGCACGUGCGAGACCCUGGGUUCGAUUCUCUGUACCACAU
rnacentral:tRNA from 1 species